rnacentral:rRNA from 1 species
CGUAGGCGGUUUAGCAAGUUGGGAGUGAAAUCACAGAGCUCAACUCUGUAACUGCUCUCAAAACUACUAAUCUAGAGUGCGGUAGAGGAUGAUGGAAUUCUCAGUGGAGAGGUGAAAUUCUUAGAUAUUGAGAGGAACGCCAAAGGCGAAAGCAGUCAUCUGGGCCGUUUCUGACGCUGAGGCGCGAAAGCGUGGGGAGCAAACA